AAACUCAGAGCAUAAGGCGGAUUUAGUAGUAAGUUAAGAAUAGAGAGCUUAGCUGAAUGGGGCAAUAAAGCACGCACACACCGCCCGUCACCCUAUUCAAAUAUACUUCUUAUAUAUUUAAUAAAAUAAAUUAUUAAUAGAAUUAUAAAUAUAUAAGAAGAGACAAGUCGUAACAAGGUAAACAUACUGGAAAGUGUGUUUGGAAUAACCAAA
rnacentral:rRNA from 1 species